UACAGAGGUCUCAAACGUUGUUCGGAAUCACUGGGCGUAAAGGGCGUGUAGGCGGCUGGAUAAGUGGGAUGUUAAAUCCCCCGGCUCAACCGGGGACCUGCAUCUCAUACUGUUCAGCUCGAGCACAUCAGAGGAGACUGGAAUUCCCGGUGUAGCGGUGGAAUGCGUAGAGAUCGGGAAGAACAUCGGUGGCGAAGGCGGCCUGCUGGGCCGUUGCUGACGCUGAGGCGCGACAGCGUGGGGAGCAAACAGGG
rnacentral:rRNA from 1 species